rnacentral:rRNA from 1 species
UUGAACGCUGGCGGCAUGCUUUACACAUGCAAGUCGAACGGCAGCGGGGGCUUCGGCCUGCCGGCGAGUGGCGAACGGGUGAGUAAUGCAUCGGAACGUACCCAGUCGUGGGGGAUAACUACGCGAAAGGUUAGCUAAUACCGCAUACGCCCUGAGGGGGAAAGCGGGGGAUCGAAAGACCUCGCGUUAUUGGAGCGGCCGAUAUCAGAUUAGCCAGUUGGUGAGGUAAAGGCUCACCAAGGCGACGAUCUGUAGCUGGUCUGAGAGGACGACCAGCCACACUGGAACUGAGACACGGUCCAGACUCCUACGGGAGGCAGCAGUGGGGAAUUUUGGACAAUGGGGGCAACCCUGAUCCAGCCAUUCCGCGUGAGUGAAGAAGGCCUUCGGGUUGUAAAGCUCUUUCGGCAGGAACGAAACGGUCGUCUCUAAUAUAGAUGGCUAAUGACGGUACCUGAAGAAGAAGCACCGGCUAACUACGU